rnacentral:lncRNA from 13 species
AUGAGUCGCAGGCGUGAGGGUCUCUGCCUUCAGGGCUUCUUUGCUGCUGAGCCAAGGUCACGCUUCAAGGGAAUUUCUUGCCAUCGCAUCACUGCUUGGCCUACCUUUCUUCCUGGUCUAGUUUUUCCUUCUCUACUCUCAACUGAUCCUUCCUGGGCACAUGUUCUAAUAAAUUACUUUUACAUAAAUCAAAAAUCAAGUUCUGAUUUUGGGGGGACCAACCUAAGCCAGAUAGUAACCAUGUUACUUUCUUUCCUUUCUUUCUUUCUUUUCUUUCUUUUUCUUUCUUUCUUUCUUUCUUUCUUUCUUUCUUUCUUUCUUUCUUUCUUUCUCUCUCUCUCUCUCUCUCUCUCUUUCUUCCUUCCUUCCUUCCUUCCUUCCUUCCUUCCUUCCUUCCUUUCUCUUUCUUUCUUUCUCUCUCUCUCUCUCUCUCUCUUUCUUUCUUUCUUUCUUUCUUUCUUUCUUUCUUUCUUUCUUUCUUUCUUUCUUUCUUUCUUUCUUUCUUUCUUUCUUUCUUUCUUUCUUUCUUUCUUCUUUCAGAUGGAGUCUUUCUCUGCCACCCAGGCUGGAGAGCAACAGUGUGAUCUCAGCUUACUACAACCUUUGCUUCAAGUGAUCCCCCUGCCUCAGCCUCCCAAUGUGGCCGGCCAUUAUGUGAGGAGUGACAGAAGAGAAGGAAAAAGAGAACUGAAAGGAAACGAACAGUAUUUGAUCAUCGACUACAUUUUAUUCUAACACCUGAAUGGAGAAGAUGGAAGAAAUGGAAGGACUGCAUUUAUUCUGGGGAAAACGUACGAGAGUAAUUGUCCUUUACAUGAAACCUUUGUUACUUUUAUCUUUCUCUUAUUGCUGGAAGGUAUUUCUAUGUGUGAUUAUCAAAAGUAGUGAAGUGUAGGACAAUGAAAGGAAAUUCAUUUUGUAAUUGUCCUUUGGUAAAAUAGCUUCCUUUUUUUUUUUUAGCUCACUUGAACUGGAAGAAUGAGCAGAUAUCGUAAAGACUAUGAACCCUUCGGUGACAUAAAAUUGCUGUUCUAUUAUAACUUCCUUUUACAAUGUCUUGAAAGUCUAACAGAAAGUUGAAACCUGCAUUAUAACUAUCUGCAAAUGGAAUUGAAACAAAAUAAGGAGCCCUGAAAUGUGCUCAUUAAUACUCAUUGAAAACUUUAAUUUUAAUUAAAAAUACUACUUUGAUGUUUUUCAUUUCAUACUCCAUUUGCCUGACCUGACACUGUUAAAUUAAGUUGCAAGCGUUUCUCUCAUAGUACAAAUGGGAUGUUUUUGGCAUUCAGUUUAAAAAUAUGGUUUCUAAUGUCCAUUUAUUAAAUAAAUGUUUAUUGAGUAUCCGUAGUGUUCA